GCGAGCUGGACCGCAUUAUUUACGUUCGCACUCAGAUUCAUCCCGAUCCUUGCGCCAAGCGGCCGCUUGCUUGUAAAAAAAAAAAAUCAUCAUCAUUAUCAUAAACCCAUCAAAUGUGUGCGCCGUCUGAUGUUCUCAGGAAAGAACGGCUAAAAGCACUAGAAGGUGUGAAAGGGAAAGGGGCUUCCUUUCACCAGCGCCGUCCCCUUUGCCGAGAGGCUUUGCAUAGGGUCUUACUGCGACCUUUCAAGCCAUUUGGGGGGGGGAUAUAUGUGGGAACAUUCACACGCGCGCGCAAUCUACCCACUCACGCAUCUGACAAAGUGCGUUCCUAGUGCACAGAAACUUACACGUCCUUUUUCAAAAGAAUGGCAAGACGGGUUUUUUUUUUCUUCCUGUAAGGAAAGGGAGAGAGGGAGAGAGAGAAAAAAGCGCCCUUUCCUAAUCUUUCCGAGAAGCGGAGCCCGUUCUCACAGCCUGGGAAGACCAAAUGAAUGCUGGAAGAAUACAACAGGUGGACCAUUCUAGGGAAAAGUGAUAACUGUUGCCAGAAGAUGGCCAUCAGAAACUGCCAAUUCUGAAACACUGCAGACGAGGUACACUCACCUGGGCAUUUUUGAUCUACAUGUUAUUGGACUAUCUUCAUUUUACAAAGCGAAUCACCUCCCACCUUUUUGUGUACAGAGAAAAGUACUUCUUGCAGAAACAAGCGAGAGCAAUGGCUCCCAGUUCAGUUCUACUCCAACUGUUUCUGUCUAUAGAGGAGAAGAUGGAUCACAGAUCCUCCUUGCAGCUCCACUGAGAAACUGAAGCCGUCAUGAGGCUGUACCAAAACAACAGAUUUCACCUAAAAGAAAAAUGAAUGGACAACGGAGAUGAAUUCAUUUAGAGCAAAGCAGAAAUUAAAGUUCUCCAGAUAUUUUCACACCCUUCAAAUGUGAAUUAAUUUGGUUAGUUAAAUGUUUAAUUUACACAGUGGAAGCUCACACACACCUUUACCCUGAGAAAGGUCUGCUAGGAGCAGAAGAAAUAAAAGCAGGGGAGGAGGAGAGGGUUGAAGGCAGAAGCCAAGAAGGGAAAAAUUCUUAUGAAGAUUGAAGACCAACUGUUGCUCGGAGACGAGGGGUAAGGAAAAGCAGAAGCAACUAUCAAGAAAGGGAGGACAAAGUAUGGAUUCCAGAGGAAAAGGGAGAGAGGAACCAACCAAGAAAGGAACCAGCAAUGACUACAGAACAAGGCCAAGUCACCACACAAGAUAAGACUGUUGGGCUUCAUUUUCGUCACCUGCAUUUCUCCCUCAGCCCAGAAAAUUGAGCCCCACGUGUCUGUUUAGUUUCUUAUUGCUUCCAAUAUGUGUACAUUUUUCCUUUCACAAAA